GCUCCUAUAGCUCAAUUGGUAGAGCGCGGUACUGUUAAUACCGUUUUUGUAGAUGUUCGAGUCAUCUUGGGGGCG
rnacentral:tRNA from 1 species